AACGAACGCUGGCGGCAUGCCUAACACAUGCAAGUCGAACGAGACCUUCGGGUCUAGUGGCGCACGGGUGCGUAACGCGUGGGAAUCUGCCCUUGGGUGCGGAAUAACUUUCCGAAAGGAAUGCUAAUACCGCAUAAUGUCGUAAGACCAAAGAUUUAUCGCCGAAGGAUGAGCCCGCGUAAGAUUAGCUAGUUGGUGGGGUAAAAGCCCACCAAGGCGACGAUCUUUAGCUGGUCUGAGAGGAUGAUCAGCCACACUGGGACUGAGACACGGCCCAGACUCCUACGGGAGGCAGCAGUGGGGAAUAUUGGACAAUGGGCGAAAGCCUGAUCCAGCAAUGCCGCGUGAGUGAUGAAGGCCCUAGGGCUGUAAAGCUCUUUUACCCGGGAUGAUAAUGACAGUACCGGGAGAAUAAGCUCCGGCUAACUUCGUGCCAGCCGCCGCCGUAAUAC
rnacentral:rRNA from 1 species